rnacentral:ncRNA from 1 species
CAUUGCGAGAUGGAAUCUGUAGGAAGCCAGCGGCAAACAUUUGACCCAACGAACAGGAACCUCAUACAAAACAUAUAACCGUGGAUGAGAUGCAUAACAAAUCAAAGUCCGAUAGCUAUUCGGCGGAACGGCAGGUGUAAUUGAAGUGGGCAUAAGAUAGAAAGACA